rnacentral:rRNA from 1 species
UACAGAGGUCCCAAGCGUUGUUCGGAUUCACUGGGCGUAAAGGGUGCGUAGGUGGUUGUGCAAGUCUGAUGUGAAAUCUCCGGGCUCAACCCGGAAAUGGCAUUGGAAACUGCAUGGCUAGAGGGUUGGAGGGGGGACUGGAAUACUUGGUGUAGCAGUGUAAUGCGUAGAUAUCAAGUGGAACACCAGUGGCGAAGGCGAGUCCCUGGACAACACCUGACACUGAGGCACGAAAGCUAGGGGAGCAAACAGG